UACGUAGGGUGCAAGCGUUGUCCGGAAUUAUUGGGCGUAAAGAGCUCGUAGGCGGUCUGUUGCGUCGGCUGUGAAAACCCGGGGCUCAACCCCGGGCCUGCAGCCGAUACGGGCAGACUAGAGUUCGGCAGGGGAGACUGGAAUUCCUGGUGUAGCGGUGAAAUGCGCAGAUAUCAGGAGGAACACCGGGGGCGAAGGCGGGUCUCUGGGCCGAUACUGACGCUGAGGAGCGAAAGCGUGGGGAGCGAACAGG
rnacentral:rRNA from 1 species